AUGACCGUGACGCUGCAGGAUAUUGCUAUGAUCACCGGUCUUCCUAUCGAUGGCAAUCCUUUAUGUAUGAACACCGAUUCUGAUGGGUGGCGCGCGCAGAUGCAAGCCCUUAUCGGUAUGGUUUCUCCGGAGCCUCGGGAACCAGAAGCAGAAGAUAAGAAGAAGGAAAGAGUCGCAGCGGGCGCUACUUUCACGUGGAUAUCAUCGAACUUCUGUCAUUGCCCUGAUGAUGCUAAUGAGGACAUGGUGAAGACAUAUGCUCGUGUCUACAUGUGGUACGUGAUAUCCAGGACAAUGUUUGCUGAUGGCACAGGCAAGAAUGCUCCAUGGAUGUGGCUGAAGGCGUUGACCGUCUUUGAUAGCAAAUGGAGUUGGGGUUCGGCGACACUGGCUUACUUGUAUCGACAGGUAUGA
rnacentral:rRNA from 1 species